rnacentral:antisense_RNA from 1 species
UUAUAUGGCGACUGUGCGUGGGGCACCUUUGCGUGCGCCGGGCUCCUUGACCCUCGGCGUACAGCUGCCACCCAA